rnacentral:lncRNA from 1 species
AUAAUGUUGACUAAUACACAGGGCUCUGUUGACACAGGGUAUAAUAAUGUGUUCUUUUCCAUGUCUAAGGCAGCUUGUACCUUCUGAGGAAGGUACAGAAUUUUAAUAUCUCCAUUGUUCACCACUACCCUAGCUAUUGCUUAGCAUUUUUGUUUUAUUCUUUAAGCAAUGUAUUCCCACUAUACUAUUUGGUCUUUUUUGUUUUGUUUUGUUUUUGCUCUGAGGCAAAGAGAAGUUCUGGACCCAAAAUUCUAUUUCAUACCUUGGCCUCCAGAUGAAACUCUGAAUGAGUCACAGUUGGUCUUCCCCAAGGAAGACAGAGAGAAAAAGAUUUUGCAUAUUCCACACUUUGGUGAAAGGUAAGGAUGUUCAGAGUUUGUUGAAAAUGGUUUUAUCUAAUUAAUGGUGAUAAGAAUAAAAAUUACAAUAGAUAAUUUUCUUGCUCAAAAGCAGCUCUUAUAAUUCAGUUGGUUGUUCUACAAAGACUACUUGUUUCUUUCUUUUUGUUUCUUUCUACAAAGAAUACCUGUAUUUCUUAUUUCUAAAUUCUACCUUCCAACUUCCUAAAAUGUAUUCUUGCCUUUAUGGGCUAAGACUACAGAUGAAUGUGCAGCUC